UAGCAAAAUGGAGUCUUGCUUUAAUAAUGUUAUCUUGCCUACAUGGUCAUAUUGUUCCCAUUUAAAGUGUUCUACCGUCAUGUGUAAAACAUUUCAGUAGGACCUUCUAUAAUUUAAUGAAAUAUUUUCAGUGUAUUUAAACUUUUGAGGAGUUGAGAACAACAUUACUAAUAAUUAGAUCUACCUUCAGUAAAAAUUUACACAGUCCGAUUUUCAAGUUGUUUUGUCUUAUCUACAAGAGGACUGUCUGAUGGAUAAACCAUGAUUAAAUCAGUACAUUUAUACAGCACAUGAUCAGCGUGUGAAGUGAACACUGCACGUACGUGCAAUAAACAUGCAGCAGAUGACUCCAGUUUUCUACUUAUUGGAGUGAAAAAAGACCCAGCUUGUACUACAACCUUAAAUAAACAAGUCACAAGAUUUUAUUUACCCGUCAGAUAUUGCGAUACAAACGUUUUAUAGUGCAGUUUUAAAUAAUGCAGAUGAAACAUUACUUGUUAAGAUAUACCCUGUCAGAUUCACAUGACUAAGGUCAUUCAGUGCAUUUUUUAAGUAUGGUUAAACUUAAUUUUAUUAUUCUGUUUUGAAAAAAAAAAAAAUGAAUGAAACUUGAAAGCAGUUUUCUGUAAUUCAACUUGUGUAACAGUGUACAUUUAUCAGAAUUUGUCAGUGAAAAUAUUGUUGUAAGCACUUAGAUUAUAAGACUGAGCAAAAAGAUGUCGAGUCAAACGGUAUCUAACAGAGGGCGCUUGCCGCUUCUUCAAAAGUUUGCGUACAGUGUUGGCCAUGUGUUGAACGAUCUGACGGCAUCUAUGUGGUUUACCUACAUGAUAAUUUAUUUUCACCAAGUAAAGAAAUUUGAUAAUGCAUUAGCAGGAGACUUAGUUCUGAUUGGACAGAUUAGUGAUGCUAUAUUCACGCCAUUCAUUGGAUAUGAAUCUGAUCGUGUGAAAGGAUGCUUUAACAUGGGCAAACGAAAAACAUGGCAUUUUUUAGGAACAUUAUGUGUGAUGUGCAGUUUUCCGUUCCUGUUUCUAGGCUGCAUCACAUGUGACCACGCUCCCGACUGGUCACAGUUUAUUUACUUUGCACCAUUUGUUGUCAUUUUCCAGUUUGGCUGGGCCUCAACACAAAUCAACCAUCUCUCACUUAUACCAGAUCUCACGGAUUGCACAAAUGAGAGAGUAGGUUUAAAUAGCUACAGGUAUGCUUUUACAGUAUUGUCCAACAUGAUGGUGUAUGGUAUUGCUUGGUUGUUAUUUGAUCUUGGACAGAAUUCUGAUGUUUCUAAACAACUUGGUCCUGAUGAUUCUUCAAAAUUUAGAAUGUUAGUGCUAAUAGUAGUUGGCCUUGGUUUAGUAUUCAGUUUGAUAUUCCAUAUCGGUGUGAGGGAAAAGACUGCACCUGUCUCGCAGAACAACAGAGAGUCCCUGAACGACUCCUCAGCAUUAAUAACCAUUGAAAAAUCUGCUGUGAAACAGUUAGUCAUGUCUUGGAAAUGUUGGUUAAAAGAACAUCAGUUUUAUCAAGUUGCUGUGAUUUACAUGUCGACACGUCUUGUUGUCAACAUUUCCCAGGUGUAUUUACCGAUAUACUUAGUUGAAACUAUAAAACUUGAUAAAGAUUCUAUAGCAAUAAUACCUUUAAUUGUGUAUGUUAGUGGUUUUGUCACUUCCCUGCUGAUGAAAUACAUCAAUGCUGCUGUCGGCAGGAAGGUUACCUUUUUAAUAGGAGUCGGGUUUGCAAUAGGGGCAAGCAUAGCUUUCUAUUUCCUGCCGCAAGGGAGCAAACUUGUGUAUGGAGCAGCAAUACUCAGUGGUAUAGGUGGAUCAACUAUGCUAGUUACCUCCCUUGCCAUGACUGCAGAUCUGAUUGGUGAUAAUACUGAGAGUGGAGCAUUUGUGUAUGGAGCAAUGAGUUUUACAGACAAACUUUCAAAUGGUGUUGCUAUAGCAUUGAUUCAACAGCUACAUCCAUGUGGCGCGGGUUGCUGUCCAUUAUGUGCACCAUAUUAUCGGCAUAUACUGACGUCUGUACCUGGCGGAAUGAGUGUGAUAGCUGGUAUUGCCCUUGCCACAUUAAUACCCCAAACAUUGGGUACUCGAAGGAAAAAAGCUGCUUUACUGACAGCAGUUACACAGAAUGGCAGAAAAAGGGAGGUAAUUCCCGAAGUAUCAUAUGAAUCUGAUGAUGAGCAGGAACCGCUACUCCGAGGCAAGACUCACUCAAUCCAGUGAUUUCUUCUGGUGCAUGUGCUAGCUCUAAUGCAGAGAUUACACGGUAUCUAUAGUCACACUUCCAUGUUGCUUGUAUACUUGUUCCUGCACUCCUUCCAUGCCCCAAUCCCCACACCCUCUGAACCAGACUCUGCAGUAAUAGCACAAUGUUCAGAUAUUUUUGAAUUACAUUCCAACCUGUAUUAAGUAGCCAGCCAAGAAUAUGACACAAUAUGACUGCCAAAUCAGGUGUCUGCUGAAUACAGGUGGCAGCUAAAAUAGGUGUCUUUUCAUCUCUCAAAAACAACAUAGAGGAUACUGGUAUUUGCUUGUUUUAGAAUAUCGUUCACCCUGAGAAAACCAGACACAAAAUGUUCACAAGUGACAUAGCCACUUGAGAAAAAUCUGGUGUUCAGGAGUGAAAAAUAUUUUGUUCUUUCAUGUAAAACAAAACAAACUUUCUUUUUCUUUCAUGUCUUUUACCUAUUGGCCCAUUUAACUUUUGAAAAAAAUAUUGUUCACAAUGAAAUUACCAGAUAUAUUUCACUGUUAUAUUUAAAUAAUUUUCUGAAAAGCAUGUAAUAAAAUGUUUUAUGUUGGAAAUUGUUGAAAUGAUUUCUUAAUUUCAAAAAAGAAUUGAUAACAAGUUUAAGCAUUGGAGUUAAUCUUUGUGAAUACUUUUCCAGUAAUAUAUACAUACUUUGGCAUUUGUCAGAUCCAGGUAUUUUGUUAAUUGUUGCUUUUAAAAAUGAUAAGCUGCUAAAACUUUUUCUGUCUCAGCGUAUCUAGAUUAUCAGUCCGCUUUACAAAUUCCUUAGAGAAAUAUGUGAAGAUACAGGAUCCCACUGGUGUGCCUGAAAUAAAUGAAGAUAGUAAAGUCACAAGUUGAUUCAUUGUGUGUUGGUGAAAUAUUUGGAUAGUGUUGUCAAGGCUACCAGAAGAAUGCCAGUACUCUUGCCAUAUUGCUUGAGCUACAUGUCUUGCAAAAACUUGUUUCUGUGAUCUGUAAUAUUUUUAAUUUGCUGAUAGAAUUUGUGUCGAGAAACAUUAUGGACAAUUAUGUUUCCCUUAUUUUAAAGUUGUGGGACACAAACAUUUUUUUCUACUGUCGCAAGACUUAGUUUAAAAAAAAAAAUAGUUGCAGAAAAAAUGUCCCGGACUUUAAUGACAGAAAAUGUCCAAGAAGUGACAAAAAAAUAUUUAUUAGCUCACCUGUCACAAAGUGACAAGGUGAGCUUUUGUGAUCGCGCAGUGUCCGUCGUCCGUCCGUCCGUCCGUGCGUGUGUGCGUGCGUCCGUAAACUUUUGCUUGUGACCACUCUAGAGGUUACAUUUUUCAUGGGAUUUUUAUGAAAGUUGGUCAGAAUGUUCAUCUUGAUGAUAUCUAGGUCAAGUUCGAAACUGGGUCACGUGCCUUCAAAAACUAGGUCAGUAGGUCUAAAAAUAGAAAAACCUUGUGACCUCUCUAGAGGCCAUAUAUUUCAAAAGGUCUUCAUGAAAAUUGGUCAGAAUGUUCACCUUGAUGAUAUCUAGGUCAAGUUCGAAACUGGGUCACGUGCCAUCAAAAACUAGGUCAGUAGGUCUAAAAAUAGAAAAACCUUGUGACCUCUCUAGAGGCCAUAUAUUUCACAAGAUCUUCAUGAAAAUUGGUCAGAACGUUCAUCUUGAUGAUAUCUAGGUCAAGUUCGAAAGUGGGUCACGUGCCAUCAAAAACUAGGUCAGUAGGUCAAAUAAUAGAAAAACCUUGUGACCUCUCUAAAGGCCACAUUUUUCAUGGGAUCUGUAUGAAAGUUGGUCUGAAUGUUCAUCUUGAUGAUAUCUAGGUUAAGUUCGAAACAGGGUCAUGUGCGGUCAAAAACUAGGUCAGUAGGUCUAAAAAUAGAAAAACCUUGUGACCUCUCUAGAGGCCAUAUAUUUCAUGAGAUCUUCAUGAAAAUUGGUCAGAAUGUUCACCUUGAUGAUAACUAGGUCAAUUUCGAAAGUGGGUCACGUGCCAUCAAAAACUAGGUCAGUAGGUCAAAUAAUAGAAAAACCUUGUGACCUCUCUGGAGGCCAUAUUUUUCAGGGAUCUGUAUGAAAAUUGGUCAGAAUGUUCAUCUUGAUGAUAUUUAGGUAAAGUUUGAAACUUGGUCACGUGCGGUCAAAAACUAGGUCAGUAGGUCUAAAAAUAGAAAAACCUUGUGAACUCUCUAGAGGCCAUAUAUUUCGUGAGAUCUUCAUGAAAAUUGGUCAGAAUGUUCACCUUGAUGAUAUCUAGGUCAAGUUCGAAAGUGGGUCACAUGCCGUCAAAAACUAGGUCAGUAGGUCAAAUAAUAGAAAAACCUUGUGACCUCUCUGGAGGCCAUAUUUUUUAUGGGAUCUGUAUGAAAGUUGGUCUGAAUGUUCAUCUUGAUGAUAUCUAGGUCAAGUUCGAAACUGGGUCACGCGCGGUCAAAAACUAGGUCAGUAGGUCUAAAAAUAGAAAAACCUUGUGACCUCUCUAGAGGCCAUAUAUUUCAUGAGAUCUUCAUGAAAAUUGGUCAGAAUGUUCACCUUGAUGAUAUCUAGGUCAAGUUCGAAACUGGGUCACAUGCCAUCAAAAAUUAGGUCAGUAGGUCAAAUAAUAGAAAAACCUUGUGACCUCUCUGGAGGCAAUAUUUUUCAUGGGAUCUGUAUGAAAGUUGGUCUGAAUGUUCAUCUUGUUGAUAUCUAGGUCAGUAUGAAAGUGGGUCACGUGCAAUCAAAAACUAGGUCAGUAGAUCAAAUAAUAGAAAAACCUUGUGACCUCUCUAAAGGCCCUAUUUUUCAUGGGAUCUGUAUAAAAGUUGGUCUGAAUGUUCAUCUUGAUGAUAUCUAGGUCAAGUUCGAAACAGGGUCAUGUGCAGUCAUAAACUAGGUCAGUAGGUCUAAAAUUAUUGAAAUCUUUUGACCUCUCUAGAGGCCAUAUUUUUCAAUGGAUCUUCGUGAAAAUUGAUCUGAAUGUUCACCUUGAUGAUAUCUAGGUCAAGUUUGAAACUGGUUCAUGUGCCUUAAAAAAUAGGUCAGUUGGUCAAAUAAUGAAAAAACCUUGUGACCUCUCUAGAGGCCAUACUUUUCAUGGGAUCUGUAUGAAAGUUGGUCUGAAAAUCAUCUUGAUGAUAUCUAGGUCAAGUUUGAAACUGGGUCAACUGCGGUCAAAAACUAGGUCAGUAGGUCUAAAAUUAUUAAAAUCUUUUGACCUCUCUAGAGGCCAUAUUUUUCAAUGGAUCUUCAUGAAAAUUGAUCUGAAUGUUCACCUUGAUGAUAUCUAGGUCAGUUUCAAAACUGGGUCACAUGCGGUCAAAAACUAGGCCAGAAGUUUAAAAAUAGAAAAACCUUGUGACCUCUCUAGAGCAGGGCUCCGGAAAUUUUGAUAAUUCAAUCGGUCCGAAACGAAAAUCCUGACAUCGGCGCUACCCCACCCACCGCAUUCCCAAUAUUACAUAUUUUGUAAAACGUGAUAGGGUAAAGAAAUAAGCAUGUCAUGCAUUAAAACUGUGUUACCAGUCACCGCGCGUUACCAUACAAUGAAGACAGUUAUUCAGUGUUAUGUGUGAUCGUUACUUUGUUUAAAUUUCGAUGUUUUUCCGAGAUAAUACCAGGCAUUGACACCGUGUGCGUAACUAGUCUAAAAGCCAACGCACGUGACUUCAAUACCGUAUACACGGCAGAUACUUUGUGAUGUUUCCUCAUUCUUUGACGGAAUUCUAAUAAAAUACAAUGCGUCAAAGUGAGUUACACGACACAUAUUUUCAGCUAAACAGCCUCAGUAUUUAAAGAAUACUCUGCCGCGGACCGAAUGUGUACGUUAUUUGAACGCUGAGAUCGAAUUUCCCGCAUGUAUAGUACCAAAACGUCAUGCGGGUUGGCCACGGAUAUUUCAUUUCACUUACGUUGUACUUCAAUAAGCAACUACAUUUUAUAAAGUUAUAUGUUCUCUUCUGAUGUAAACAAAAUUUCAUUUUGAAACGUUUUUUAAAAGACCGAUUUGAUAAACAGUGCCACUCCGGUUUUCUUUAUCAUUCGUGGUUGCCCGUCCAUUUUUUUCUUUUCGGGUUGCAAAGACGAUUUUCUGCAUUUGUUUCAACUGGAGCCCCAACAAAUGAAUCAUGUAAUUUUUUCAAAUCAAGUAAUUAUAAAAAUUAUUUUUAUCGGUUUUCCGUGUGAUGUCUCAUUAAAUCAAAGACCUAUAAUGUACAAUUAUAACUCUUUGAUUAAAUGCAGCGACCAUUUGUUUGUUACCGUGAUCAAACAUAGUCUUUUGAAAUAAACCAUCCGUCGGAUUCUAAAUAAAAGAAGUGGACCUCCGUCGAAAUGAUUAGGAUCCAGUCAGAAACGUUAGGAAACCAGUCAAAAAUGUUUAAUACACCGCAGUCGGCUGUCUGCAAACAUUGAAGGAUGUGCCGCGCGAGCACUGAUUGCGUCACGCGCUAAUUACGGACCGAUUAUCAAAGUGACAAUCAGACCGAUUGACACGUUUAUUGAUUAUCUGAAGGUGCGACCAACAAUUUCCUACUUGGCAGGUGAUCGUGUAUUGAGAUAUAAGACCGAAAUUUAUACUUUUCUCCAUUUUUACGGGACCGAUUUUUUUCGUUUUUUCACUUCGCGAAUCGGUCUGAAAAGUCAAAAAUCGGUCCAAAACCAACAAACCGGCAAAUUUCCGAAGCCCUGCUCUAGAGGCCAUAUUUUUCAUGAGAUCUUCAUGAAAAUUAGUGAGAAUGUUCACCUUGAUGAUAUCUAGAUAAAAUUCAAAACAGGGUCACGUACCUUCGAAAACUAGGUUAAUAGGUCAAAUGAUAGAAAAACCUCGUGACCUCUCUAGAGACCAUAUUUUUCAAUGGAUCUUCUUGAAAAUUGGUCAGAAUUUUUAUCUUGAUAAUAUCUAGGUCAAGUUCAAAACUGGGUCACAAGAGCUCAGAAACUAGGUCACUAUGUCAAAUAAUAGAAAAAACGACAUCAUACUCAAAACUGGGUCAUGUGGGAAGAGGUGAGCGAUUCAGGACCAUCAUGGUCCUCCUGUUUUUGCAAAUUUUGAAAGUGUCUCAAUAUUAAGGUGUCUCAACAUUUACAUGUAGGUAAUAUACCAGUAAUACUAGGCUAACUUUGUGACCAAAGCUGAAAAGCAAAAAGUGUGACUUCACAAAAAAAGACAAUAAAUAGUCAAAAGUAUACCAGCCAAAAUUAAACCACACGUUUUCUUGUAAUACAAUACAUUAAUUCUUUGAUUUUUUUAAAAUGUUUGCCAUCUCACACUUUGAAAACUCAUUAUCAUACCCCCCUUCGAAGAAGCUGGGAUAUUUUGCUUUGCACAAGUUGGUCAGUCCAUUGGUCUGUCUGUAUGUCGUUAGAGCGAACAGUUACCAGCCAAUAACGCUUGACCCAGAACAUUCAAAUUUGGAAGGUGAUUAAGCUUUUGAAGUAGAUGACCCUUAUUGUUUUGGGGUCCCAGAUCAAGGUGUUAGACAUCUUCUGCUCAGUUACUUGAGAAUCACUUGACCCAGAAUCUUCAAACUUCAUAGCACGAUUUGGAUUGUGAGGUAGAUGUCCCCUGUUGUUUUGGGGUCAAAGGUUAAGGUCACAGGGACCUGAACCUGGAAAACAGUUUCUGCUCAGUCACUUGAGAACCACUUGACCUAGCACCUUCAAACUUGAUAGUGUGAUUAAUGACCCCUAUUAUUUUUUGGGUCAAUAAGUCAAAUUUCAAGGUCUGGGGGGCCUGAGCCUUGAAAACGGUUUACCUAGAAUCUUCAAACUUGAUAGUAUGAUUGGGCUUACGAAGUAGAAGAACCCUAUUACUUUUAGGGUCAGUAGAUCAAAGGGCAAGUCACAGGAACCUGAACCUUGAAAAACUAUUCUCCUCAUAACAUGAGAACCACUUGGCCCAGUAUUUUCAAACUUGAUAGCAUGGUAGAGCUUAUGAAGUAGAUGACCCCUUAUCAAGGUCAUUAGACUGAAAAUUGGACAAUCCAUCAUGGGGGCGUGGGGGGACAUAUGUGUUUUAAAAACAGCUCUUGUUACACUGAUGAAACUGUUAGUUGCAUCAAAGGUCAAUGACUACUGACAUUUUUAUGAAUAUGUUUACUUUGAGAGGGACUGAAGAGGGAGCAUACAUGAUUGGUGCUAAUAAUUGUCUUUUCCUCUAUAUACAUUGUAUUAUGAUUGUUUUGUUUAAACAGCUCCUGUUUAUAAGUAAUAUUUCCCUGUACAGGUUUGUAUAUAUAGUAUAUUUACAACUGCAUAAAAACAAGUUCAGACUACAAACUGGGUAUAAUUGCAAUAACUUAUACAUGACAGUCAUUAUGAGGAGCAUUAACAUACAUAUACAGUCAAUCCUGUCUGUACAGACCACCCUUGGGAUUUGAAAAAAGUGGUCUUUUUUGACAGGACUGGUAGUCUUUUAACAUGGUUAAUUUACAAGAGAAAAUAGUGACCUUUAUUAGCAGGUUUUAUAUAGGUAAGUGGUCUUUAUUUGGAGGUGGUCUGUAUCACAGGUUUCACUGUAUAUGCAUGACCUAUCAUGAGUCUAAUAUACCACAAAGCUGUGUUUUCUGCAUGUACUAUUGUAUGUUACAGUAGCUUAUUGCUUGUAUUAAUGUUUUCAUUUUUUUAUAGUGUAAAAUUUGAUUUAUGAGAAACUUUUUUUGUUAUUAAAACAAAAUAAAGUAUUUAAGUAAGGAAAACCAUUUAGAAUGCAUUUAUGAGAAAAGUGAAUUUUGAUUUUGAUUUUUGUUAAUAAAAAAAAACAACUUUAAAUGUAAAUUUUUUUUUUUUACCAUUUCUCAAAACUAUAUUGUAUGUUACAUGUAUGUAGUUUAGGUCUUGUAAAGAGAAAAAGUGCUCUGAGUAGGGUUUACCAUCUCCUGUUUUAAUUAUAAACCAAAAAAGAUUUGGUUUUCAACUUAAUCUGUUUGUAACAUUGUAUAAUUUGCACAUCAUCGAGACAUUGUCACUGUUUAAUGCGCACAUCUACCAGAUAUGUAAUUGUUCAACGUGCAUGUCCACCAGAUAUGUAAUUGUAAUGCGCAUGUCUACCAGAUAUUUAAUUGUUUAAUGUGCAUGUCUACCAGAUAUGUAAUUGUUCAAUGUGCAUGUCCACCAGAUAUGUAAUUGUUCAAAGUGCAUGUCUACUAGAUAUGUAAUUAUUCAAUGUGCAUGCCUACCAGAUAUGUAAUUGUUUAGUGUGCAUGUCCACCAGAUAUAUAAAUUGUUUAAUAUGCAUGUCUUCCAGAUAUAUUAUUGUUUAGUGUGCAUUGAGCACAUCUUCUAGAUAAUAAUUAUUAUGUCAUUGUUAAUGUGCACGUCUUCCAGAUAUUUUAUUGUUUAAUGUGCACGUCUUUCAGAUAUGUCAUUGUUUAAUGUGCACAUCCUCCUUAUUUCAUGUCUAAUUUUGUUUUUCUAGAUAUCAGAUUUAUCAUGUUGUGUUUGAACUGUGCAAUACUCAAAAUUUAUAGUGCAGAUAUGAAAAAUAAAAUCUAUAUAAUUCA